AACGAACGUUGGCGGCGUGGAUUAGGCAUGCAAGUCGAGGGAAUCCCAGCAAUGGGGGAACCGGCGUAAGGGGCAGUAAUGUGUGGGUACCUACCUUUGGGUUCGGGAUAGCCAUCAGAGAUGGUGGGUAAUACCGGAUGAUGUCGUGAGACCAAAGAUUCAUCGCCCGGAGAGGGGCCCACAUGAUAUUAGCUAGUUGGUGGGGUAACGGCUCACCAAGGCGAAGAUGUCUAGCGGGUGUGAGAGCACGACCCGCGCCACUCGCACUGAGACACUGGCGAGACACCUACGGGUGGCUGCAGUCGAGGAUCUUCGGCAAUGAGCGCAAGCUUGACCGAGCGACGCCGCGUGCGCGAUGAAGGCCUCCGGGUUGUAAAGCGCUUUAGGGGGGGAGAAAAGCCGAAAGGUGUGAUCUAUCCCCAAAAUAAGCACGGGCUAAGUUCGUGCCAGCAGCCGCUGUAACAC
rnacentral:rRNA from 1 species